GACCUUCUCUUUCCUUGGCUGCUCAGGUCAUAGGUGCUGCAAUCUAGAGACAAAAUAUUCCUUACACUGCCAGAUACUUGCAAACUAAGGGGAACGAGCUUCCCUCUGAAUGUUUAUGAAGGAGAGACCACUGUGAGGAUAGACAGUGAAGUGCAACUACAGCCCGCAAAUGAAAAUGAAUAAAAUUAAUCCAGCCCCUCAAGGCAGUCAUCUGUCUUAGAGCUAUUGGAAUCCUGGAUCAUUGUGGGAAAUGAAAAGAACUGGUUUUUAGCAAGGAGACCAAGAAACUCUACUCCCUAGGGGCUAGCAAUGAGAGAAAGGAAGCCUUGAGUCUUUGAGCACAGGGUGACAGUUUGGGUCCUAUGUGAGAUGAUCAAAUCCACAGCAACAGAGGAAAGGACAAAAGGAAAAGGUCUGUAGCAGCACUACAUCAGAAAAAAUGGAUUCCGCAAGGAAGUGGGUGACUCUGAAUACUUCGAUGGAAUCAGCAGCCAUUGAUCCAAUGCCAACUCCAAGACUGGAACGUCGCAAUGAUAGUUCCAAGGCGGAAAUUUGACGUAAUUCUUUUCGACACAGUUUUACAGGUGUGACACCAUGAAGUCGUCCCACAUUUCCCACAACCUGAAUUUGGGAUGACAGUCGACUGAGAUUUUGUAAACUGAUUAUCAUCUGUUUCUGUUUUAUUCUCAUUACCUAACAUAUGCCCACUGGGGGGUGCUAAAGAACUAUGAAUUGGAGGUAAUUCUGGGAUAUCUUCCCAGAGCUUUUGAGGAUUUGGCUGUGUUCUUAAGCUGCUUGCUGAACUGUCCAUUUCUCUUUCUCUUCCACUUAAUUUCAUACUUUCAGGUCUGGAUGCCCAUUUUAAUUCUUCUGAAAGCAUGCCUCCUUCUGGCUUCAGGACUCCAUCUCCAGCCUUAUGAUCUAAAAAUAAUCCCCAAACCAAAAAAUUAGAUAUUAUUUCCUCAAAAUUAGGUGUUUUAAUCAAAACAUCUUAACAUAAAUACAUUAUUAUCACCCAA
ensembl:lncRNA novel transcript